rnacentral:rRNA from 1 species
UACGAAGGGGGCUAGCGUUGCUCGGAAUGACUGGGCGUAAAGGGCGCGUAGGCGGUGGACACAGUCAGGCGUGAAAUUCCUGGGCUCAACCUGGGGGCUGCGUUUGAUACGUGUUUGCUAGAGUGGGGAAGAGGGUCGUGGAAUUCCCAGUGUAGAGGUGAAAUUCGUAGAUAUUGGGAAGAACACCGGUGGCGAAGGCGGCGACCUGGUCCUUGACUGACGCUGAGGCGCGAAAGCGUGGGGGGCAAACAGG